CCCAUUUUUGGGUGGUUUUGGGGUGGGAGAACCCCAGAUCCUCAGGUGAGACCAAAAAAUUUGGGUGUUUUUGGGUGUUUUUGGGGUGGGAGAACCCCAGAUCCUCAGGUGAGAUCAAAAAAUUUGGGUGUUUUUGGGUGUUUUUGGGUGGUUUUGGGUGGUUUUGGGUGGUUUUUUGGUGUUUUUGGGUGUUUUGGGGUGGGAGAACCCCAGAUCCUCAGGUGAGAUCAAAAAAUUUGGGUGUUUUUGGGUGUUUUUGGGGUGGGAGACCUCCAGAUCCUCAGGUAAGAUAAAAAAAUUUGAGUGUUUUUGGGGGUGGGAUAACCCCAGAUCCUCAGGUGAGAUCAAAAAAAGGGGGUGUUUCACCUCUUUUUUGUGU